AAAAAAAAAACGAAGAAGAUUGCAGCGGACUGCUGCAUCAUUAAUAAAAAU
rnacentral:ribozyme from 1 species